CAAUAGCGUAUAUUAAAGUUGUUGCAGUUAAAAAGCUCGUAGUUGGAUUUCUGGCAGGAGCGUCCGGUCUCACACUCAGUGCGGGAACUUGGAUGUCUCUGGCCAUCUUUGGGGAUAUCCUGUUUGGCAUUAAGUUGUCGGGCAGGGGAUACCCAUCGUUUACUGUGAAAAAAUUAGAGUGUUUAAAGCAGGCUUAUGCCGUUGAAUAUAUUAGCAUGGAAUAAUAAGAUAGGACGUAGGUACUAUUUUGUUGGUUUGCGCACCAACGUAAUGAUUAAUAGAGACAGGCGGGGCUAUUCGUAUUGCAUUGUCAGAGGUGAAAUUCUUGGAUUUACGGAAGACGAACAACUGCGAAAGCAUUUGCCAAGGAUGUUUUCAUUAA
rnacentral:rRNA from 1 species